rnacentral:rRNA from 1 species
GAUUAACGCUAGCGGCAGGCCUAAUACUUGCAAGUCGAGGGGCAGCGGGAGUAGCAAUACUUGCCGGCGACCGGCGCACGGGUGCGUAACGCGUAUGCAACCUACCUGUAACUGGGGAAUAGCCUUCUGAAAGGAAGAUUAACACCGCAUAACAUCACGAGACGGCAUCGCCUUGUGAUCAAAUCUCCGGAGGUUACAGAUGGGCAUGCGUGACAUUAGCUAGUUGGUGAGGUAACGGCUCACCAAGGCGACGAUGUCUAGGGGGUCUGAGAGGAUGAUCCCCCACACUGGUACUGAGACACGGACCAGACUCCUACGGGAGACAGCAGUAAGGAAUAUUGGACAAUGGGCGCAAGCCUGAUCCAGCCAUGCCGCGUGAAGGAUGACGGCCCUCUGGGUUGUAAACUUCUUUUAUACGGGAAUAAACCCCCUGAUUCUUCAGGGGCUGAAUGUACCGUAAGAAUAAGGAUCGGCUAACUUCGUGCCAGCAGCCGCCGUAA